GCUUCUGUGGCAGAGUGAUGCAUGCCUUAUGAUUCAAGUAAUCCAAGCUCCCCCCUUAUCAUCACAUUUUGAGUGUUUGGUUUCGUUCAAUUUAUUAAGAUAACGAAAUUAGAAGACCUUCAAAGAUUUUAAUUCCUAUUAAUUUCUCUUGCAAGCAACUGUUCCGUGAUAUCCGAUGGCUCACAACGUACGUUACUCCUGUUAUGUUUACCCGCCCGCACCGCCUCCGGAUGGCACGGCGGCCUCCUGUCGUCCACCAGCUUCCAGAACUGUAUUGUACUCUGGAGACACACCAGAAGCCGCUGUAUAUAUAUCACCGUGGGUUAUUCUCACGGGCUCUACCAACUUCACCAUACGAGCACGCGUUCUCCUUGCCUUCCUCUUAAAGUCCAACUACUCGUCGUGGCUUCAGAAAGAGCUGAGGUAUUCCUUCUUCGCUUCUCCACCUACUUACUGCAGGUGCAGGUGAUGGCGAAACGGCGUCUUCUCCUCCUUCUUGCUCUCUUCCUCGUCUUCUCCUCUGCAAAGUCGCAGUCGUUCAUCGGGGUGAACUACGGGCAGGUGGCGGACAACCUGCCGCCGCCAUCGGAGACCGUGAGCCUGCUGCAAUCGACCACCAUUUCGAAGUUCCGACUCUACGGCGCCGACCCAGCCGUCAUCCAGUCCCUCGCCGGCACUAACAUCUCCCUCGUCCUCGGCGUCUCCAACUCCGACAUCGCCUCCCUCGCCUCCGACCCCGUCGCCGCCUCUAAUUGGGUCGCCGCUAAUGUCCUCCCCUAUGCUCCCGCCUCCUCCAUCUCCGUCGUCUCCGUCGGCAACGAGGCCCUCAACUCGGGUGACUCCUCCCUCGCGUCCAAUCUCCUUCCCGCUAUGCAGAACCUCCGCUCCGCGCUUUCCGCCUCCGCGGCCGCCUCCGGUGUCAAGGUCUCCACCGUCCACACCAUGGCCGUGCUGUCCCAGUCGGACCCUCCCUCCUCGGGCGCCUUCCACCCGGACAUCGCAGCCGACCUCACGGGGAUUCUCGGGUUCCUGCGCGACACCGGGUCGCCCUUCAUGAUCAAUCCCUACCCCUUCUUCGCCUACCGCAGCGACCCGCGGCCGGAGACGCUGGCCUUCUGUCUCUUCCAGCCCAACUCGGGCCGGCUCGACGCGGGUUCGAAGCUCACGUACACCAACAUGUUCGACGCGCAGGUGGACGCCGUGCGGUCGGCGCUCGACGCGCUAGGGUUCCCGGAAGUGGAGAUCGUGGUGGCGGAGACGGGGUGGCCGUACCAGGGGGACCCGGACGAGGUGGGUGCCUCGGUGGACAACGCCAAGGCCUUCAACGGGAACCUGGUGGCCCACCUGCGGUCACUGGUGGGGACGCCGCUCAUGCCCGGGCGGUCGGUGGACACGUACAUCUUCGCGCUCUACGACGAGGACCUCAAGCCCGGCCCUGCCUCGGAGCGCUCCUUCGGCCUCUACCGCGCCGACCAGACCAUGAACUACGACGCCGGCCUCGCCAAGUCCACCUCGAGCUCCAGCCCGAUCACGGCGCCGGCGAGCACGUCGACGGAUGCAGGGCCACCGCCUGCAGGGGUGACGGGGUUGACUCAGCCGGCGGGGUGGUGCGAGCCGGGGGCGACGCUGCAGGGGAGCGCAGACGGCCGGCCGACCCAGGCGGGGGCGCAGUGCUACAUCCCCAACGCCGUCCGAUCGCGUACGGCCUUGGGGGCGUGUCGCCUCUUCUUGUACGUGACGCUGGCGCUGCUGCUAACGUAGCGCAAACACCCACAUUAAAGCAAAGAAGAAGAAAGGAAAGCAAAUCUACCGAGCAAAGCGUAUUUUGUUCGGUACGUGGAUUGGAUCCAACAGGAUAAAGGUCAACAAAUUUUGACGCAUCUUUUGUCUCUAUAUUCGCCGAUGGGAAGCAAAUGGGGCCAGAAUUGUCUCCGAUCACAAUAAGCUAAGAGUAGGGAUCAGACUAGUUUUGACUUGGAAUGACUUUUGUUGCUCCCUUUCCUCUCUCUCUCUCUCUCUCUCUCUCUCUGUAUAUAUCCAAUCUUGGCUUGAUGGUUUGUUUAACCCAAUUCAUCUUGGGUUGGGCUAAAGCUCAGAUGAAUGGAUUGGGUCAGGUUGUCCAAUUUGCUAUCACUAUUGUGUCGAAUGUGAACGUUUUUAUGAAGGUAAAAUUCUAAUGCUAUUCCUAAUCGACA